AGGGAAUCUUCCGCAAUGGACGCAAGUCUGACGGAGCAACGCCGCGUGAACGAUGAAGGCCUUCGGGUCGUAAAGUUCUGUUGUUAGGGAAGAACAAGUAUUGUUCGAAUAGGGCAGUACCUUGACGGUACCUAACCAGAAAGCCACGGCUAACUACGUGCCAGCAGCCGCGGUAAUACGUAGGUGGCAAGCGUUGUCCGGAAUUAUUGGGCGUAAAGCGCGCGCAGGCGGUCUUUUAAGUCUGAUGUGAAAGCCCCCGGCUCAACCGGGGAGGGUCAUUGGAAACUGGGAGACUUGAGUGCAGAAGAGGAGAGUGGAAUUCCAUGUGUAGCGGUGAAAUGCGUAGAGAUAUGGAGGAACACCAGUGGCGAAGGCGACUCUCUGGUCUGCAACUGACGCUGAGGCGCGAAAGCGUGGGGAGCAAAC
rnacentral:rRNA from 1 species